AAUGGUCUCACUUCACCUUCUCAGAAUUAGAACUAAACCCUAGCGCUGCCUCCAAAAGCUUCCGCCAUUUUCAUCGGCAAUCGACCUUCAAACCCUCCCAAAUUUUCAACCACAUAACCAUCACUCACCCCCAAAUCUCAAACCACUGAUAUAUAUAUCCAAACCUAACCAAUUUCGUAUCUAAAAUAAAAAGCAGAAGAAAAAAAAUCUUUCCAAAAAAAUUUAAAUUUUCCUUGAACAAUUAGGGUUAAAAUUGGUGUUACUCGUCUGUCUUCAGCAAGGACACACGAUUAAUGCCAAUUUUGGCUCAAAAUUGAAGACGUUUGAAGCCUAGAAAGUCCGUUGUCCACCCCCGUAUUUCUGGGUAUUUUUCGGUCAUUUUUCUUUCUUUCAUUUUUCGUUUUAUUCUCAUUCUCAUCUUCUUCUGUUUCUUUUUUUUUUUUCUUGCAUGCUAAUUAAAGGUUAUUUUUAGUCAGCAUUUCUUUUUAGUUUAUUUGAUUUUGUUGUUUGAUUUCCCUCAAAUUCCCUCCUAUUUAUGGUUUUCUUUGGAUUCUUGGCUUCAGGAGUUCAUAUAACUCCUAUUGGCCCAUUUUCUUGGUUUUUUCUGUAGGGUUUUUAAAUUACUAAUUGGGCUAUGUCAGCAGAAGCCCAAAN
rnacentral:lncRNA from 1 species